rnacentral:rRNA from 1 species
AUGGAGACGGAGCCCGUGAGCGCGGCCACGGGGGCCACGGGGUCCGUCCUCAAGAAGCUGGGCGCUCUGCUGGCCGACGAGCACGCGAUUCCCAAUGGCGACGUCGAGUCCCUCAAGGCGGAGCUCCAGGCGGUGCACUCCUUCCUCAAGACACUAUCCCAGGCGGAGGAUCCCGGCGAGCGAGGCAGGCGCUGGAUGAAGGAGGCGCGGGAGUUCUCGUACGACGUGGAGGACGCCCUAGACGAGCUCAUGCUCCCUCCCCGCGACGGAUCUGGUAAUAGCAACCCAGAUGGCUUCUCUGAAAAGAUCAGCACAUGGUUGACGGAGGCGGCGGCUCGCCGUCGGACAGGCCAAGAGAUCAGCGACAGCAUCUCCAGGGCCGGCACCGGCGGCGUCGAGGCAGAGGAUCCCCGCCGGGACUGCUCUCUCUACAAGGAGACGGGUGAGCCCGUGGGCCUCGACGGGCCCGCUGAUGAACUCAUCAAAAUGUUGAACGGAGGAGGACAGCAAUUGGGGGUGGUUUCCAUCGUCGGGUGUGGCGGGCUGGGCAAGACGACCCUUGCUCGUCGUGUCUACAACACGUUCGGUGAGCAGUUUGAGUAUCGGGCUUUUGUCUCCGUCUCCCGGAAACCUCAUUUGGUGGCGAUUUUGAGGGAUAUUCGUAGCCAGCUGGGGUAUGAGUAUGACCAGACCUUAACUGAGGAUGCGCAAUCGUUCGCUGACAGCGUCUCCAAUUUCCUUCAGGAUAAAAGGUACUUCAUCGUAGUAGAUGAUGUAUGGGAUGUUCAAACAUGGGAUAUUAUCAAGGGUGCCUUUCCAAAAAGCAAUUUUGGCAGCAGAAUAAUCACGACAACGCGUAUACAUGAAGUAGCCAAAUCAUGCAGUGCAACAUGUGGGGGUCGAGCUUAUACGUUAAGCCCUCUCAUUACCGCCGACUCGGAAAGGUUGUUCUAUAAGAUAGUGUUUAAUUCUGGUGAGCAAUGCCCAUCCCACCUCAAAAGAGUUUCUGACAAGAUCUUGCAGAAAUGUGGUGGUCUGCCCCUGGCAAUUAUUGCUAUCUCUGGUUUGCUGAUUGCCAAAAAUCAUGAAGAUCAAUGGGAGCAAGUGUACACUUCUAUCUGGCAUGGACUUGGAAGCAACCCUGCUGUUGAAAGAACCAUGAGGAUUUUGUUGCUUGGCUACUUUGAUCUUAGCCCUUGCCUAAAAUCUUGCCUACUUUAUCUCAGUGUAUUCCCGGAAGGUUAUGCUAUCAAGAAGGAACGUUUGGUAAUGAGAUGGAUUGCUGAGGGAUUCAUUCCUGAAGAGCAUGGACAUACCCUGUAUGAGUCAGGAGAGAGGUGUUUUAACGAGCUCAUCAACCGGAACCUGAUCCAACCAGGGGAGAUGAAUAAGUUUGGUGAGGUGGAAAGUUGUCGAGUCCAUGGCAUAAUUCUUGAUUUCCUCGUAUCCAUGUCAAACCAAGACAAUUUUGUUACUUUCAUUGGUGUACCUGGUGUAAUCCCUGAGCCGCAAAACAAAGUCCGUCGAUUGUCUCUACAGGGCGACAAUGAAAUUCCUGCAGAUCUUAUUUUGUGUAAUGCCCGGUCACUUUCUGUUUUUGGUGGUUGUGUUAAAAUGCCAUCCCUGUCGAAGUUCAGACACUUGCGUAUUUUAGAUAUGGAAGGUUCUGGGGAAGUAGAAGAUCAACAUCUUGCAGAAAUAGGUGGUCUGUUCCAUCUCAAGUACCUGAGGCUCAAGUCAAAAGUUGGAAAGCUUCCCCAGCAAAUAGCAGAGUUACAGUACUUGGAGUCACUUGAGAUAUGUGAAAGCAAUGCGACAACUGAAAUUCCAUCAGCCAUCAAUCAACUCACACGGUUGGUGCGUCUAGUUGUUAACGAUGAAACUAUAUUACCGGAUGAAAUUGGAGGCAUCAAAGCAUUGCAAGUGCUCAGAGGCAUCAAUGUCAACACCCAGUCGACCAACUUUGUUCGGCAAGUUUGUCUGCUAUCAAACCUGAGGGAACUGAGCAUAAGUUUUAUCAACUAUUAUGCUGGUGAUAACUGGAAGGAGAACCAGGAAGAGAUGGUCAGUUCGAUAUGUCGCCUAGGCCGAGCAAACCUUCAUGUUCUACACAUUACUAUCAACGAGGGAGCAGAUGAGAUCUUUGAGGAGUCAUGGAGCCCUGCUCCACUUAGUCUCCGGGAACUUGUCGUCGAGGUGGGCGUUGUCUCGAGUGUUCCAAGAUGGAUUGGCUCACUUGUCAACCUCCAGAAAUUGGCGGUACCUAUGUGGGAAGUUGGGGAGGAGGAUGUGGUGAUCCUGGGAAGCCUGCCUGAUCUGCGCCAUCUUAGCCUCACUGCACUGGCAGCUGGGUCAAAAGAAGGGCGGCUUAGGGUCACCCAAAGCCAUGGAUUCCCUUCCUUGAUCAAUUUCCAGAUCGGCGGAGAAGAGUGUGCACUUGGGUUAGUUUUUGAAGCUGGUUCCAUGCCUAAGCUACAAAAUCUCGAGCUCGAGUUUGAUGCGGAGGAAACUAGUUCUGUGACUAAUGGUGGUUUUGAUUUUGGCAUCAAGCAUCUCUCCUGCCUCACAAGCACAACGGUUCGCUCUACUUACGACGAUCCCAUUCGUCCCACGUUGGAGGCUGCCAUGGAGAGAUGCAUCAACGACCAUCCCAACCGUCCCACGUUGAUAUGGAUGAAAUGA